ensembl:lncRNA
CCACAGAUGGGCGGGCAGGGUGCAGAGCUGCAGGCAUUCCCGUGACUUUGGUGGUGGGAAGAUCUGGCAGUUGGUCUGAUUGUACCUAUUUUCUUUAUGAAGGAUAGUCUGAGGUCAGACCGAGAACGAAAGAGGAAGGGGUGUUGAAAAUACGCCUAGAGGGGAGAAAGUGUGAAAUGGUUGCACUGUGGAGAGGGAAAAGGAAUUUUCUAAGAAACCGUAGUAGGAUUGUCCAGCAGUUCAAAUGCCCAUUUGAAAUUUAUGCCAUAAAUGUGAGGUGACUCCAUCCAGAGGAGCUGGGUAAUUUUCUUCGGCAGGGUUCAACUGCUCCGUUGCAGGUGUGAAGUAAACAGUGUGAUUUAACCACAGUUGGGUUUUCUCCAGGUGGAUCCGAGAACAGCGCAAGGAAGUUAAGAGUGUUUGCAGGGGAUUUCGCGUGCUGGAUUAUGAAAUCUCAGCUGGCUGAGAAGUGAAGACCUGAAGGGAGAUAAAUCCUGAAGAAACCGCAGAGCGAUGGCCUGGAAGUCUCUGAGAGAGGAAGAGUUAUUACGUGCUGAGAAGAGCUAAGUUAUCUACAUAACAAAGCAAUGCAGUGGGACGAGGAAGAGGUCCAGAGCAGGGAAAAGUCAGGAGCGUGUUCAGACUGUAGCCCAUUCGAGGCUGUGGAGCAGCUACAGGGCAGAGAAAACUGGGCUUGGAGGAAGGAGCCUCUGAGAGGGGCCGAUGAAGCCUGGCCCUGAGCUAACAUCUGUGCCCACCUUCCUCUACUUUAUAUGUGGGACGCCUACCACAGCAUGGCAUGCCAAGUGGUGCCAUGUCGGCACCCAGGAUCCAAACCGGUGAACCCCAGGCCGCAGAGAAGCGGAACGUGCGAACUUAACCGCUGAGCCACCGGGCUGGCCCCUGAAGUCUUUUUAAUGUUCUUCCAGAAAGUUUAGGAGCUGAGACCUCUUACCAACAGCCAGCACCAAGCUGCCAGGCAAGUGAGGGCGCCAUCUUGGAAGUGGAUCCUCCAGCCCCAGUCAAGCCUUCAGAUGAUUGCAGCCUCAGCUAAUAUCUUGACUAAAACCUUGUAAGAGACCCUGAACCAGAGCUGUCAAGCCUGCAACCCAACAUGAUGUGAUGAAUGGCACUUCGGCAGCCAUCUUGGAUCAUGAGUCCACACGCCACAUUAGAGUCGUUUCGUCGGCCCACAGCUGGAGGAAAACAGCGAUUCUGGAGUGGGGAGAGCGAUCGCCACAAAGACCCGCUCAAAGAUCCGCAGUCUCCCGCUCCAGCCAAUCACUUCCUGGAAGACCACGUGGGAGAGGGAUCUCAGUCACUUAAUCAAAGCGACAGUAUCGAUCAGGGGCCCUAAACUGUUAGAGUGGCGGUGGGAGGCGGGUGGGUAGGAACACCAAACAAAGGAGGAACCCCAGAGAUAGUAUCCCACUUGCUGUUUACCCCAGGGCGGUGACUGACAUGUUGGGGCCAGGAAUCAACCUGUGGGUUGCCGCUUACUUGCCGUUAAGUCUUUGGGCUACUUUAAGAUUUAUGAACAUCUUCUGACUCCCUGGAAUUCUGGAACUUUAGAGCUAGAGAAACUUAGCACCCAUUGUUGUCGCUCCUCAUUUUAAGGGAGAGACCUAGAGGGUUAGGUGACUUGGUCGAGGGUUAGGCCAUGCUGUUCCUGCUCUUAGUUGAUGAGUCACACCUGGAACUCAAGGCCCCAACUCUCCUUCCACCUAUUGUAAAAAUGGCGUCUGCUCCCAGCCUACCUGCCAGGUGGAGGGAGGCGGGUGGGGGUGGGGAGGAGCUGGUGUGAGGGAAACAUCCAUCAAAUGAAUGGGGUCUCCCCUGAGUUAAGAACAUUAUGUAGAAACAAUUUUGUGUUUCAGUGGAAAACUGAAUCAUCUGUAUGUGUUAUCCAUUGCAUACCUUCCAGGGUUAUAAGAUUCAAGCCUAUUCAUUAUCUUUAAGCUAUUUUGCAACUCUGUAAGUUGUAGCUAAUUGACAGAUAUGUAAAUUCUGUCCUACCUGGUAGAUUUGACUUCUUCCCACCACCACUCCGUCGGCAGGAAAAAAAACACUUGUCUUCAUUUGCAAUUCAUCUCUAACAUUCCUUUACUCCAUGUAAAUUGGUGCUGUUUUGACUUUUCCUUUGAACCAGUUAUAACAUCUAUCUGCCUGGUUCUGUCAUAUCAUGUGAGCAAAAUAAAUUCUUUAACGCGUGUUCAUUUUUU